CACGUAGGAGGCGAGCGUUGUCCGGAAUCAUUGGGCGUAAAGAGCGCGCAGGCGGCUUGGCAAGUCGGGUGUGAAAUCCCGGGGCUCAACCCCGUGACUGCAUCCGAUACUGUCAGGCUAGAGGUAGGUAGGGGAGAUCGGAAUUCCUGGUGUAGCGGUGAAAUGCGCAGAUAUCAGGAGGAACACCGGUGGCGAAGGCGGUGGUCUGGGCCGGAACUGACGCUGAGGAGCGAAAGCGUGGGGAGCGAACAGG
rnacentral:rRNA from 1 species